GGGACCUGGUGGCGGGCGGUGUCACACUCAACAUCGCCCCGGCUGCAGACAGUUUCUGGCUUUUUCCUCUCAGGGUUGCAAGUGGGAAAUCGGCAGCUCAAUUUCUCUGCUUCCCUCGGCUGCUAAGCCACAGAAGAACUGCUUCUACUGCUGGAGGGUGAGGGCGAGCCUCCAUUCCCCUCCUUCGCCGAGAUUACAUAUGUAGACGCUUGGGACAAGAUAUUUAUCUACCAUAAUUUCUGUGGCAAAAUUAAAGACUUGUCAUGACAAUGAAGAAAGAGACUGAAUUUGUCAUUUUCACCUAAAGAAAAAUGAUAGACAAAAAUCAAACCUGUGCUACAGGACAGGAUUCUAUGCCCUACAUGAGUUGUCUGAUUCACAUAUUUGAAGAAUGGUUUGGAGUGGAGCAAUUGGAGGACUAUUUGAAUUUUGCAAACUAUCUAUUAUGGGUUUUUACACCACUAAUACUUUUAAUACUUCCUUAUUUUACUAUUUUUCUCCUCUACCUUACUAUUAUUUUCUUACACAUUUAUAAGAGGAAGAAUGUGUUAAAAAAAGCCUAUUCUCAUAAUUUAUGGGAUGGUGCAAGGAAGACGGUAGCAACUCUGUGGGAUGGACAUGCAGCAGUUUGGCAUGGCUAUGAAGUUCAUGGAAUGGAAAAAAUACCAGAAGGACCAGCACUUAUAAUUUUUUAUCAUGGAGCUAUUCCCAUAGAUUUUUACUACUUCAUGGCUAAAAUUUUUAUCCAUAAAGGCAGAACCUGCCGAGUAGUAGCUGAUCACUUUGUCUUUAAAAUUCCAGGGUUUAGUUUAUUGCUUGAUGUGUUUUGUGCUCUACAUGGACCAAGAGAAAAAUGUGUUGAAAUUCUGAGGAGUGGUCACUUGUUAGCUAUUUCACCAGGUGGAGUUCGAGAAGCCCUACUUAGUGAUGAAACCUACAACAUCAUAUGGGGUAAUCGUAAAGGCUUCGCUCAGGUUGCAAUUGAUGCAAAAGUGAUGAGGAAACACAGGCACAGAGAGAUGAAGGGAUGGAGGGACCGGGUCACACAGCAAGGCAGAAGCAGAGCAGAACACGCAGUUCAGGACUGCAGGCAACCAGUGCUGUUGCCAUCACUGACUGCAUUUCACACCCAUUAUUCCUAUGUUUACACAAAAUAUACGAGAAGGAUUUAGAUCACUUGGAGGAACAAGGUUAUUUAGGUGGCUUUAUGAAAAAUUCCGCUAUCCAUUUGCUCCAAUGUAUGGAGGUUUUCCAGUGAAGUUACGCACCUAUUUAGGUGAUCCUAUUCCAUAUGACCCAAAGAUAACCGCGGAAGAAUUAGCAGAAAAGACAAAGAAUGCUGUUCAAGCUUUGAUUGAUAAGCAUCAAAGAAUACCGGGAAACAUUAUGAGUGCUUUGUUAGAACGUUUUCAUAAAAGUUAAAAGAUCCACUAGAAGGUGAUUCAAUACAUUUAUAUUAAUAUGUUUGUGUCUAUAGUAUUGUCUUCUAAAUUUUGUAAGUUUUAUAAUCAUGUAUUAUUGUAAAACUUGUGUUAAUAAGCAUCCUUUGCUGAACUCGUUUAAAUUGUAAAUUUUGUUUUAUUUAGUUAUGUCAAAUUUAAUUCAUUACAUGCCUAAUAAUUCUGAAAAUUAUGUUUCCUUUUAUAAAUUCCUAAUAAUGUAUGAUAAACGUAUAGAUUACUAGAAUUAAGUUUAUUAAUAAUAGCAAUUUCAGUUAAACAAGCACUCCUAAAUAAUAUAUCUAGUUUCUGUAGUUAUUGCGCUGAGCUAAUUUUGCAAGACGCCAUAACCUAGGGUUAGAACAGAUGCUUAAGUUAGUAAAAAAGUGCUUUUUUGUCUGCCUUUCAUUUCUUUCAUGACCUUGGGAAAAUCACAUAAUGUUUUUGUGCCUCGAAAAUUCACUUUUGAAAAACAUGUUUAGACUGUGGUAAGGAAUAUUAUCUUAAAUUCUUUGUAUUUGCUGUGAUUGUUAUAGUAGAAUUAAAAUUAUGAUUGAAUUAAUUAAACAAUACCAAGAUCUUUCAUAAGUUUAUGUACAUAUUUUGUUCAUAGGAUGGAUAUUUGAAUUACUCCUUCAGGUAUGAUGUGAAGUUGCCAAGCA